rnacentral:rRNA from 1 species
GUCUAUGGCCAUGCCACCCUGAACGUGCCAGAUCUCAUCUGAUCUUGGAACCUAAGCAGGGUCAGGCCUGGUCAGUACUUGGAUGAGAGACCACCUAGGAAGACCAGGUGCUGUAGGGG